UCCUCUUGGGUGGAUCUCAAAAGGCGGAUAAAGAUCGUGAAAUGGCCAGCCUUCUCAAGGAUUUUGGUGACGUUGGUGAUGCCGUGUGGUGCAGCAGCCUGUGUUGGGGUUGCGACUGGAGGUUGUGCUACGACUACUGCUGGUGCCUGUGCUGGGGCUGCUGUUGGUGACUGGGCAAAGGUAUUGAUAUAACACAGGGAAAGAAGAAGCAUUGAAAAUGAGAAGAUUGAGUACUGUUGCUUCAUCUUUAAGUUUCCACGGUAUAAUGCUAGAGAUAAUUAAAAAAUGCUAACGCAAAUUGAGUUCGAUCUUAGUUGGAAGUGUUUGAUGUCUGAAGAAGAGACAGAGUGAGCUUUUAUAGAAGUGGACAGAGGAUCAAACUAGGUGCAAUGUACGAGUUUAGUUAUACAACUUGGUUGCUAGUACCUAUUUUGCUCUGAAAGGUGGAGGGUCAUCAAUGGAUGGGUUUUUUAACAAUGCUGCAGCAACUACUUGGCUUGGAAAAGAAGGAAAAAAUUUCUAAAAAGCAGAUUUCCAGUGGUGUGACAGUAAAUAAAGAUGUCCAUGAUUGUCGAAAUUAUAUUUUAGAAUCAUCACUGUCAGAACAUUUGAGGAUACUUCUUAACUUAAAAAAAAAAAUCUUCUGUCAUGGCAGAAGAUUUGGACAAGCAAUCUUAACGGAACCAUCUUUCUAUAUCUAAAACAGCUAUGGCUCCUUCAGCAUAAUAGAAUGAAUCUUUACUUCCCUGAAUCCAUGACAGACAUCGAUAGACUAACUUUCCAAAUUUACACAGAAAUCAAAUCUCACCUAGACCAUCACUUAAAACAACACAAUCAAGCAACACCUACCUUAUGUACUUGAUUUGAUGUUCGUGGCAAGCCUUCUUUCAAGGUUUAUGCAAUCUCCAGGGGAGAUGCAUUUUAGGGCAGCAAAUAUGUCCUAAUACAUGUUAGGGGAACACUGAUUUUAGAGUAUGGUUUGAAGCUACUGCAGAUGCAGAAUUGACAGCCUACACAGAUGGUGAUUGGCUCGUUCAUUUGAUGAUAUGUAGAGCACAACAUGUUAUGAGUUCAAUUUCGGUUCAGGUGCAUUUUAUUGGAUGACCAACAAGCAAAAACAAUGGCACAAACCACUGCAGAAGCAGAGUACAUAGCUGCAGCAGCUACAGUGUGAAGCAACGACAAUUGAAAUUGAUAACAACUCAGCCAUUGCAAUUGUGAAAAAUCAUGCAAGUCAUGUCAAAACCAAGCAUAUCUAAGUGAAGUUCCAUUUAGUUCAUGAUGUAUAAAAAGCUAAUGAGGCGACCUUAAUCUACUGUGAAGCAGAAAAUCAACUUGAAGAUAUAUUCGUUAAAACUCUUUCUCAAGCCAGAUUUGAAUUUGUCAGGAACAAGCUUGGAUUAUCAAGAAGUCGUCUCAAGGAGGAAUGUCAUACCAAUUUUGAUACUUUUUCUACAUACUUAGUGCAUGUUCUGUAGCAAUCUACUGAUAUUUUGUAAAAAGUAUUGCUGAAGUAAACCUGCUGAAAAUCAUGUGAGGGCAGGUCCCAGUAGUCAAGGGGUGGUGUUGUGAUCCUUGGAUGGCAUUAGGUGGAGUUUUUCUUGAAAGAAAGUUAUAGUAAUCAAAUACUUCUGCGCAUAUAUAAAUGAUAAUGUCAGAUGUGGUAGUACGAAAAAACAAACCGGUUUACAAAAUCAGCAAAGCACUAUCAGUCUUGCUAUCUAUAAUUUCUCUGCUGCAAACAUUCUUGUUGGUCACAAAACCAGCAGUUAUGAAAUUGGAGAGAACCUGAACCUGAUGUUGGCUUAAACUGGAGAAAGAUUCAUUAAGAUAAAACUUUAAAGGCUCCAUUGUAAGCGCAAUGUGCAGGUUAUUUCACAUACAGAUUGGCAAAACUUCAAGUAAAUUAGCUGUACCAUGCAGAUCCAACUUCGAGCACUCAUUUUGUAACUCAAAAUCCUUGAGAUUGCUGAGAGAACUUCCAAAAAUAAACACCACUCAAUGCAAGCAUCUGCGUAUAAUAACAAACUUUCAUGAAAAGCUGUCAUCAAGAACAAUAUAAGUAUUAUCCUACAUUUGCACAAGCAACCAUCUGCAUAUAAUAAGACAAUAGCUCACUAGUUAUACAAAAUUCACAAUGAAAUAUCUGUUUUCACCGUUGUCCUACAAAAUGAAUGAAUUAAUGUGUAGCACUAGCUUAUCUCUAGCUUCAAAACAUCAAUACUUCAAGAAGAAGGAACGAAAAGAAAAGGAUUAUCUUAAUCCUGCAGGGCAGAGCAGUAAGGUGCUUCGCAUGAGCAAGUAACCCAAAACACUAAUCUCCAAUGCUUAAUAUGCUCUUUUCUGUCCAAUAAUGAAUACUUGUUUCAAUCAAACCUGAUAAAUCCUUGAAAUACUACCUACCUAGUACCUACCUUCAAUUGAAUCAUCUCCAACAGCCCACGAUUUGGACAAGUAACCUCAACCUCAAGUGAUGCAUUCUUUUUAGUGAAGGAACUAAGCUUUAGCUCCUGAAACUUUACAGAACAGAACUUUACAUUCUUCAUUCCUUACAACCUUCAACAGAUAAUCUUUUCAAAUAUACAAACACAGAAAUCAAAUCACCCACAAAUUUGAAGAAAACAUCAUUCAAGAAACACUGACCUCAGGGACCUAAGCCCCAAAGAGGCAAUUGGUUUAUCUAACCAAAAGCUAGGAAAUAAGUAGACGACACCAGGGUUACAGUGAGGAAAAAAAAUGAAAUUUGACAGAUCAAGUAUAUAUAUUGCAACUUGAACAAGAAAUUAAAUGAAACCUCAAAAUUCCAUCUUAACCACAAGCUCAAAUCAUACAAACUGGAUUCAAAGUAAAAUCUGAAUUAUUCAAAUUUCAACAGGAAUCCAAAGUCAACAAAAUCAUGAAACAAAACCGGAACCAAGCCCAACAUAUCUCCUCUCAAGUUUCAAAACCCUUCUACAUGACAAGCAAACAUUGCAGCAGCAACUAUAACGAGUGAUCCAACAACCACAUUAUUAUGCAUAAACGUAACUGCGCUAGAUAUAUCCACAGGAGCAACAGGACUCUCUACAUUAGCAGCAGGAACCGCCUUAGUAGGUUUUUCUCGUGCAGGUGCCUGUACUGGUGCUGGAGCUGGAGCAUUGGAUCCAAAAAUGUCCUUAGGAAGUAGCACCUUCUCGAUCUUAUAAAUGGCUAGCUGGUUGUCCGUGUAAACCGUGCCAGAUAAACUUGUAUUGGUAAGUCCUGUGGUUAUGUUCACCGAGUUUGGAUAACUUGUGACAUUAAGUGGUAACCUACUACCUGUUCCAGCCCAUGUUCCAAGAGGAUUACUUACAGUCUGAAACUGGGAAGUGGAUAGGAACGUUGGAACUACGUGGAACUUCACCAACUCAGACUUGUCGCCAUCACUUAGAGUAUUGAGAGUUCCUGAUUUGAGUUCCGAAAAUGCACUAUCUGUGGGUGCAAAGAUGGUUAAACCAGUGUUGGAAUCAUUGAGCGCGGAGAACAAGUGGUUUUCCUCUUGGGUGGAUCUCAAAAGGCGGAUAAAGAUCGUGAAGUGGCCAGCCUUCUCAAGUAUUUUGGUGACGUUGGUGAUGCCGUGUGGUGCAGCAGCCUGUGUUGGGGUUGCGACUGGAGGUUGUGCUACGACUACUGCUGGUGCCUGUGCUGGGGCUGCUGUUGGUGACUGGGCAAAGGUAUUGAUAUAACAAAGGGAAAGAAGGAGCAUUGAAAAUGAGAAGAUUGAGUGCUGUUGCUUCAUCCUUAUUUUUUUGGGAUAAAAUGCUCGAAACAAUUCAAAUAUACUAAUGCAAAUUGAUCUCAAUCAUAAAGUGUUUGAUGUGUAAAGAUGAGAUAGAGUGAGGUUUUUAUAGUAGUGGACAGAGGAUCAAGUUAGGUGCAAUAUACAAUUUUAGUUAUACAACUAGAUUGCUAGUACCUUAUCUCACUCCAAAAGCUGUAGGGUCAUCAAUGGAGAGGGAAAUUUAACAAUGCUGCAGCAACUACUUUCCUUGGAAAAGCAGGCAAAAAAAAAAGGUUCUAAAAGGUAGAUUUCAAGUGGCUGUGACAACAAAUAAAGAUGUCCAUGAUUGUGAAUCAUCACUAGCAGAACAGCUGAGCAUGCUUCUUAACAUCAAAACAAAUCAUCUAUAAUGACAGAAGAUUUAGACAAGCGAUCUAAACUGACCUUUGUAUCGUAAAUAGCCAAGUCUUUGCUCUUUUAGCUUAAAAGAACGAAUAUUUACAUCCUUAAUCCUUGACAGACAUUGAUAGAUCACUAAUUUUCUAGAUUCGCACGCUCAGAAAUCAAAUCUCACACCAGACCAUCACUUAACACAACUUCAUGAAGAAACACUUACCUUAUGUACAUGAGCCCGUAGAGGUCAUGCUAUUGAUAAAAGUGAUUUUGCAGUAUGCAAACGCAAGUCUUGAAACUUUAAGAUAGCCAUUUCGAAGUAAAAGGAAUUGUGUUCUUUUACAUGAUGUUGAAUGGCAUAAUAGUCUUUUAUUCAUGGAGAGGAUGAAAGAAAAGGCAAGGAGCAGAAAAUGUCUCAGUUGGUUACUGUCAUCCCCAGUGUUUUAUUUAUAGAAGGAAACAAACAUUACAGAAAAUGAAACACUAAAGAAACGUACUAGCUAUGUUCUCCUUUAUCAAAGGAGUUAUAUAACAAGCUAGUCUAAUCCUAGAUAAGCUUAAACAAAUGAAUUGAAAGAAACAUCCUAAUCUAGAUAAUGCUAUCAGCUAACAGAUAAAUAGCUAUCAGCUAACAAAUAGAUAACAAUGCAGUAGAUUACUACAAAGUAAUCCUGUUCCAGCUUUGGUACCAAACUUCAACACUCCUCCUUGGUUCCAAAGCUACACAUUCCAAUUCUUCCUCUCAGAUCUUCAAACAUGUUUCCUGUUUCUAGUUCAACUGCUGCUUUGAAUUUAACAAACUCAGCAAACACAUAAGAUUUUGAUUUGAGGCAAGGGAUUCUGUACUAGAGCUCAAGCCUUUUAUUCAUGUUAAACGUACUAGGAUGAAUGGAUCAUGCUUCCACCAAAACCAUGAUUUUCCUCCAUAAUGCAGCAAAUCAUAGAAGGGUUUUUCUGGCAGUCGUCUGUCACAUUCAGUUUAUGAAAAUUGUGAUAUAACCUCGACAAUUUUACUGAUUGGAAUCCACUUCCUCAAGCUUAAAGUAACAAUCCUAUGCUCUCUAACACUCUCUUUUCUCUAAUUAUCAACACCAGCAGUUUUGAAACAGGAGAAAAGAACUUAACCUGAUGUGGGAUUGCUUAAACUAGAGAAAAAUUCAUUCUGAGGAAACUUAAAAGGUUCCUGUGUGAGAGCAAUACAGCAGAUUUGUUCACAUUAAGUUUAGUAGAAGUUCAAGAGAUAACCUAGUAAAGGUAGUUCUGUUUCAGAAGCCUGAUUUCUUGAUAAUUAGCAUUUUCUACUCUUUUGCAUUAUGUUCAGCCUCGCAUUCAAAUGUUGUCAGCAGAACCAUAUAUAAUCUUACAGAUUAAAGAGAACAACAUUUUGAUUCCAACCACUUCAAAAACUUGUAAUGAAAUAUUUGCUUUCACCAUUGUCCUGCAACCUCCUUUUCCUUUCUCUCUACCCUCCUUAAUGCAUGCUUUGUCUUCCCUGAUCGUCAAAUAAUCAUCUCAAUCCAAUAACUUAAGUUAUUAGAUGAGAUUCCAAGAUAUGAUUUAUAUCAUUCUCUAACACACACCCCUCAAGUAAAAGUCAAUUAAGCUUGAAACUUGCACAUGCCCACACUAUCUUGUGCUUAAUUUUUAUCAAAUAAAUAGGGAUGGUGAGAUUCAAACUCAUGACUGUUUGGUCAUUAAAGUUCUGAUACCAUGUCAAAGAAUCAUCUCAUCUCAAUAGCUUAAGAUGUUAGGUAAGGUUCUAAGAUAUGAUUUAUAUUAUUCUCUAACACACCUCUUCAAGUGAAAGCCCUUUAGGCUUAAAACUUGUACAGGUCCGCACUACCUUGUACUUAAUUUUUAUCAAAUAAAUAGGGAUGGUGAGAUUUCAAGAUAUAAUUUAUAUAUUAUUCUCUAACAUAUCACUUCAAGUGAAAGGCCUUUGAACUUGAAACUUGCAUAGAUCCAUACUACCUUGUGCUUAAUUUUUAUCAAAUAAAUAGGGAUGGUGGGAUUCGAACUCAUGAUCGUUUGGUCAUCAAGACUCUGAUAUCAUGUCAAAGAACCAACUCAACUUAAUAACUUAAAUUGUUAAGUGAGGUUCUAAAAUUUUGAUUUAUAUUAUUCUCUAAUAAUAUCGUGAUAGUUUGCCCCGUGCUCACCCUUAUUAGCCGACAUCCCCAUAUCUCUGCAUCAGAAAAAUCUUCUUUCUGAGGGAAGUAAUCCGAUAAACCUUCCUCCAGAUCCAGUAAGUUAAUGUUCAAUAAAAAAACAUAGCAACAACUAGCAAGCAAAAACUACAACCUCUUAAUAUGACAUCUCAGCCGAAAAAUCUCCGAAACCUCCAAAAAUCUCACUCCAUUUACUCCUCCGAUAACUAGACUUCCAAGAAAUAGAACCACCAACACAACCACUAUUAUCUAAGAAACAGUUAGGGCAUGAUUCGAUGACACCAGGGUGAUCAUAAAAAAACAACAAAUGAAGUUUGACUAAUCAAGUACAUGUUUAGCAAUUUGAUCAAGAAAUUAAAUAAAACCUCGAAACCAUAACCUAAAAUCAUACAAACUGGAUUCAAAGUAAAAUCAGAAUUAUUCAACACACACCAAGCUUUCAAUCCAACUCAGAAAAUUUAGACGCUGCCGGACCCAACCCAGCUUAUCUCAUCUCGAGAUUCAAACCCUUUUACAUUAUAAAGCAAAGAUUGCAGCAGCAACUGCACCAACUGAUCCAACCACGUUAUUACGCGUGAACAUGACUGCGCCAGAUAUAUCCACUGGAGCAACAGGACUCUCAACAUUAGCUGCAGGAACUGCCUUAGUAGGCUUUUCUGGUGCGGGUGCUACUGGUGCUGGAGCUGGGGCCUUAGAAGCAAAAAUGUCCUUAGGAAGUAGCACCUUCUCAAUCUUAUAAAUGGCUAGCUGGUUGUCCGUGUAUACCGUGCCAGAUAAACUUGUAUUGGUAAGUCCUGUGGUUAUGUUCACCGAGUUUGGAUAACUUGUUACGUUAAGUGGUAACCUACUACCUGUUCCAGCCCAUGUUCCAAGAGGAUUACUUACAGUCUGAAACUGGGAAGUGGAUAGGAAUGUUGGAACUACGUGGAACUUCACCAACUCAGACUUGUCACCAUCACUUAGAGUAUUGAGAGUUCCUGAUUUGAGUUCCGAAAAUGCACUAUCUGUGGGUGCAAAGAUGGUUACACCAGAGCUUGAAUCAUUAAGCGCGGAGAACAAGUGGUUUUCCUCUUGGGUGGAUCUCAAAAGGCGGAUAAAGAUCGUGAAGUGGCCAGCCUUCUCAAGGAUUUUGGUGACGUUGGUGAUGCCGUGUGGAGCAGCUGCCUGUGUUGGAGUUGCGGCUGGGG
rnacentral:lncRNA from 1 species